rnacentral:rRNA from 1 species
UGGGCCCGACGUCGCAUGCUUCCGGCCGCCAUGGCGGCCGCGGGAAUUCGAUUAGAGUUUGAUCAUGGCUCAGGAUAAACGCUGGCGGCGUGCAUGAGACAUGCAAGUCGAACGAAGGAUCGGGCUUGCUCGAUCUUUAGUGGCGGACGGCUGAGUAACGCGUAGGUGACCUACCCCGAAGUGGGGAAUAACUGCCCGAAAGGGUGGCUAAUACCGCAUGUGGUCGGACGUUCAUUCGUCCGAGUAAAGCCGCAAGGCGCUUCGGGAGGGGCCUGCGUCCGAUUAGCUCGUUGGUGGGGUAAUGGCCUACCAAGGCGACGAUCGGUAGGUGGUCUGAGAGGACGAUCACCCAGACUGGGACUGAGACACGGCCCAGACUCCUACGGGAGGCAGCAGUCGGGAAUUUUGCUCAAUGGGGGAAACCCUGAAGCAGCAACGCCGCGUGAGGGAUGAAGGCCUUCGGGUUGUAAACCUCUUUUGUCAGGGACGAUGAUGACGGUACCUGGCGAAUAAGCCACGGCUAACUACGUGCCAGCAGCCGCGGUAAUACGAAUCACUAGUGAAUUCGCGGCCGCCUGCAGGUCGACCAUAUGGGAGAGCUCCCAA